GCUUUUUCCAUAGCUAUUUCUGCUACAGCUUCCUGUCCUUGACCCAACGAUACAUUGUGAAGUUCUCCUGAGUCAAUGAAUCCUGAUAAAAUGCAGUAAAGGAUUUAAGGUUAUCAUCUGUCUCUCUCUAACUUCUGACAUCUCUUUAUAACAAGAAAGAGUCACAGCCAACUGUAACAGGAGGGCAGCACAAUGAAUCCUGGUGCUGAAGACCCCGUUGAUCCCUCAGUUUUGCCCAGUUGUGCUUGAUGUCUCAUUGGUGAAAGCAACAGGGUGCAGCAUCAGAUGUCAGCCGAGGAAAGCACUUCUAUGGCUGGAAACUGACCAUGUUGUCAGACACCAGCGUUCAUCCCAAGGACUGGGGAAUGACCUCAAGCAUGGGAGAAGCAUUACUGUUAUUUUGUAAAUAAACUUGUAAAAUGGUUCAAGAGGGCAAAGCUGAGAAAAUGGCUAGUGAGUUGCUUUAGACUAGCUUAUUUUGCACAAGUCAAAUAUUGCUGGAGCUGUAUCUGAAAUCUGAAGCUGAUCUGUCUGGCAAACCUAUUGAUGUCUACAUUGUCAAAAUACA
rnacentral:lncRNA from 1 species